CCUACGGGGGGCAGCUGUGAGGAAUAUUGGUCAAUGGACGAGAGUCUGAACCAGCCAAGUAGCGUGAAGGAUGACUGCCCUAUGGGUUGUAAACUUCUUUUAUAUGGGAAUAACAUGUUCCACGUGUGGGAUUUUGUAUGUACCAUAUGAAUAAGGAUCGGCUAACUCCGUGCCAGCAGCCGCGGUAAUACGGAGGAUCCGAGCGUUAUCCGGAUUUAUUGGGUUUAAAGGGAGCGUAGGUGGAUUGUUAAGUCAGUUGUGAAAGUUUGCGGCUCAACCGUAAAAUUGCAGUUGAAACUGGCAGUCUUGAGUACAGUAGAGGUGGGCGGAAUUCGUGGUGUAGCGGUGAAAUGCUUAGAUAUCACGAAGAACUCCGAUUGCGAAGGCAGUUCACUGGACUGCAACUGACACUGAGGCUCGAAAGUGUGGGUAUCAAACAGGAUUAGAUACCCCAGUAGUC
rnacentral:rRNA from 1 species